rnacentral:sRNA from 1 species
GAAUAUAUACCCUUAAACCAUGUAAUUAAUUAUACAAUGUUUCACUAACUGCUACGUGCGAAAUUAGGUUCCAUUGAUGUAUAUAUAUGAACAAGUGGAAAAACGGUAUAUUUCUCUACGAGAAGUAUCACAUCACGCCAAAUAGAGCCUAAACUUCAACUCCGGUCUACAUAUCCAUAAAAUAAAUGUUUUCAACCUAUUUGUCCCCGAAACGUAAGUUGUACAGCUAAAUCUCCCCGAAUUAAUACUUCGAGAUCUAUUAACCCAUAUAUCUGGGUUUUAACGGUUUAAUGUACAGCAAUUCAGUUUUAACCAUCUUAAAACAAACUUUAACCAAAACUAAACCAAAAUUAUCAAAAAUUAACCCGAACCGGCCGACCCAUUAACGAUACGACUUCUUCUUC